rnacentral:rRNA from 1 species
GAAUUUUAUUAAAAUUAAUUUGUAUAAUUAAUACAAAUUGGUAUUAAUUUUGUUGGGGGGACAUUUAAAUUAAAUUAACUUUAAAAUUAAUAUAACAUUAAUUAAUGGUUUAUAUAGUGAAUUAAUGAUAAUAUUAUUAGAAUAAAUUACCUUAGGGAUAACAGCAUUAUAUCUUUGGAGAGUUCAUAUUGAUAAAGAUGUUUGU